rnacentral:rRNA from 1 species
CCUACGGGUGGCAGCAGUGGGGAAUAUUGGACAAUGGGGGCAACCCUGAUCCAGCCAUGCCGCGUGUGUGAAGAAGGCCCUCGGGUUGUAAAGCACUUUCAGUGAGGAAGAACGCCUGGUGGUUAAUACCCAUCAGGAAAGACAUCACUCACAGAAGAAGCACCGGCUAACUCCGUGCCAGCAGCCGCGGUAAUACGGAGGGUGCGAGCGUUAAUCGGAAUUACUGGGCGUAAAGCGCGCGUAGGUGGCUUGAUAAGCCGGUUGUGAAAGCCCCGGGCUCAACCUGGGAACGGCAUCCGGAACUGUUAAGCUAGAGUGCAGGAGAGGAAGGUAGAAUUCCCGGUGUAGCGGUGAAAUGCGUAGAGAUCGGGAGGAAUACCAGUGGCGAAGGCGGCCUUCUGGACUGACACUGACACUGAGGUGCGAAAGCGUGGGUAGCAAACAGGAUUAGAUACCCCAGUAGUC